AAAGAUGCCUUUUAGAAAGAUCAAUGGUAUCCCUGGGAGGCCUGCUCUUUCCUGAAGGGAAAGGGGGAGGAUGUGGAUGGGGUUGGGGGUUGAGGGGCAACCACAGACAUGGGGGUGGGGGAAGGACUGGAAGAGUGGAAGGAGGGCAAACUGUGCUUGAGAUGCAUUGUAUAAGAGAAGAAUACAUUUACAAAAGAGAAAGACCAAAUGUGCUUACUCACACAGAAGCUCUGCUCAGCUUCCUGUGAGGAAGCCACCAACAGAGACGACUGCUGAACGAGAAGCCAGAUCCAGAAAUCAGGAAAAAAACAAGAUGUAAUGAGAAGACAACCACUCUGGAAGAGGGGAGUCACCAAGAGCCAGGCUACACCAGCCUCUUGGUCUCUGAAGCCUCGUCCACAGAACUGUGAGAAUGAAGCCUAGUCCCCAGAACUGUGAGAAUGAAGCCUGGUCCACAGAACUGUGAGAAUUAGCAAAGCUGCAUUUUGUGACCUAAGGCUAGGAAUGAGGCUCUGGAAAUCUCUUCCCCACAAUGAAACUGCUUGCUAUACAGCUCAGGAACCAGGCAGCAGCAACUAAAGUGAGUUCCAAUUCAAAAUUCCACAUGAAUGACCCUCACAUAGCUUGACAGAUUUUCGAAAACUGAAGAUGGAGAUCAAACAUUACAAACAGGUGGUGAUGACCAUGAUGUCCAAACCAUGAGGCCCUAAUCAGAUGGGAAAAGGAUGCGGCAGACAGAGUUGCAAGGGAAAUAGCCCUUUUCUGGAAUGUACCUUUACUCUUCUAUUAACUAAUCAACUAACUUCCUGAAGCACCAAUGUCAUUAAUUAGAAAGGGGCAGAUACCACCUACCUCGUUUGAAAGGUUGUUGAAAUGAUGAAUGGUUAUGCAUUGGAAACAUCUAAACUAUACAUGGAGAAUAAGUAGAAACUGACGACAGCUAUGAAUUAAUUACAGGUAUUUUCUAGGGGAAAAAAAAAGUACCCAGUUCCACUAAUAAUACAUGUACCUUUAUAUAAGUCAAGGUUUAACUGAGACAAAUUAGUAAAAUACUUCUUAAUAUUAGACUUCAAUCAUUGGAGCUAAAAUAUCAUGAAAGCAAAUUUUUAAGUCAAAGGGAAUAUAAUCCUUAAGGAGCUAUGAGGAGGUUUGCUUCUGCAUAUUUGUUGUUAGUACAAUAAAGUUAGAUGACAGGAAUCCAAGCAUCGGGGAUCCAAAAGCAUAAUGGAAUCCCACAGAUGACUUUAGUGUAAGGCAGUGGAUGCAAAAUGGAUGCCCCCUGAGGAACUGAGUGGAGGUGACAUUCAAUUAUUUCCUUAGCUGUUCAUU